CUGUGUGCAUAAAGAUCUGGGAAAAAAAAACUGAGUCUGAAGCAUGACAGGAAGCUUUAAUGACACCCCUGGUGUCCAUGCCAAGGAGAAAACUCCAGGUCUGCUGUCCCAAUGCCAGAUUUGAGGGCACUUUGCACAGCUCCUGGCUUUGAAGAGUCAUUGCAAACCAGCAGCAGCACACUCUCCAGUUCAAGGAGUUGAGUGCAGAGAAAAGGCUGGAAAAGUUGGGGAGAAGUGAUGAAAGCCUGUUCCUAUGAGCUGCAGAGGCAUCUUUUCCCAGGAAUUGUGCAGUGCUGCCAUGUUUCACACCCUCAGUGCUGCCUCUCACAAGGCAAGGACCAUGGAAAUGAAGCAAUCAGCAUGGCUCGAUAAUUACGGUGGCAGCUCGUGUGUGCUCAGUAGGUUUGGGCUGAAAGGAGAUUUCUUGGCUCUUCAAUCUAUCAGGUCCUGUACAGACCCAAUAAAAAAGUGAUGGUUCAUGCCCUAUAAUAGAAUAAAAAGAGGUUGUUCUAGGACCAGACACUGUCUUUCAGAAGAAGAAAACAAAUUGAUCCCAUUUAAAAUUCUUCUUCAUCCAUGACCAACCCAAUUUAAAAUGCUAUCAAUCUGCAUGGUGGCUUCCCCACUGGAAAAGGACAAAAAUAGGGAGCACAGUUUGUGUCCUUGCUGUGGCCAGAGUCAGAGCAGCAGGGAUGUGCCUGAUGAUGGAGAGAAAGACCUUGAAGAACAGGAGAACGACAGCCUUUGAACACCUGGUGACCAAAUUAUCUCAACUGCAAAAGUGCAACUGGAAUGGAAAUUGCUGUGAAGGCAUCACAAGCAGCAGAGAGGUGGAAAAAGUCACCUCAUUGCAAAGUGAGGUGGGUUUGACCUUCCCCCUGGUCCUACAGAGGGGUGACAGCUCUGACUCUGAUCUACAGGUGCAGAGUGGGGAAGUGUCUCAGGCUGAAAGUCCAGCUGUGUGUGUCUAUUCUAUUUCCCAUCUGUCAGAGGUGGGGCAGUUCUCUGCUGUCCAUGGGGCAGUUUUUUCUUUAUCUCUCCCACAGCCAAUCCUCCCUCCAGGAGAUCUCUUCUGUCCAUGGCCACUGAGUGUCCCUGCAUGGCUGAGAAAAUUCCAGCAUCCCAUGGGGAGAUGCUGUGCCCAGGGCAGGAGCCAAGCAUUCCUACCUGGAUCCAAUCUGACUCCUGCAACACCACAGCAGCCUUUGCCCACUGCAUUCCCAGAGGA